rnacentral:rRNA from 1 species
GGGGUUCAAAGGACACCCCCCCCGGGACGCGGUGGAUCAACACUCUUAGGGUCAUUCCGGGACUGUCCCACCCGUCUUAAUUUACACCCGGUGCGUACCUACACGUUAAGCUUGCUUUGGCGGCAAUUCUCCGUCCAGGGGACUUAUUAACUCGAUUUAUCCGUGACGUCCGAGUGAUUCAUAAUAACUAAAACUUUCAACAACGGAUCUCUUGGUUCUGGCAUCGAUGAAGAACGCAGCGAAAUGCGAUAAGUAAUGUGAAUUGCAGAAUUCAGUGAAUCAUCGAAUCUUUGAACGCACAUUGCGCCUCCUGGAAAUUCCGGAAGGCAUACCUGUUCGAGCGUCAUUGACACCUUCAAGCUUCCCAGUUUGGCGUUGGGCAUCGUCCGUCCGGGACGUGCCUUAAAAUCAGUGACGGUCCAGGUGAUUUUUAAACGCAUUAAAUAAUCUCGUUUGAAAAAAUCGCCCGCGGCCAGUCCGUUCCAUCAUCCAAAACGAUUGACCUCGGAUCAGGUAGGGAUACCCGCUGAACUUAA